UACGUAGGGGGCAAGCGUUGUCCGGAUUUAUUGGGCGUAAAGAGCGUGUAGGCGGCUUGGUAGGUCUGCUGUGAAAACUCGAGGCUCAACCUCGAGACGCCGGUUGAAACCAUCUGGCUAGAGUCCGGAAGAGGAGAGUGGAAUUCCUGGUGUAGCGGUGAAAUGCGCAGAUAUCAGGAAGAACACCCGUGGCUAAGGCGGCUCUCUAGUACGGUACUGACGCUGAGACGCGAAAGCGUGGGGAGCGAACAGG
rnacentral:rRNA from 1 species